rfam:Triticum aestivum genome assembly, contig: Triticum_aestivum_CS42_TGACv1_scaffold_375730_5AL
CUACCGGUUUUUUUAAAAACCAUUCGUUUUUAGAAACCCUAGAUUG